rnacentral:rRNA from 1 species
AGUGAACGCUGGCGGUAGGCCUAACACAUGCAAGUCGAACGGCAGCACAGUAAGAGCUUGCUCUUACGGGUGGCGAGUGGCGGACGGGUGAGGAAUACAUCGGAAUCUACUUUUUCGUGGGGGAUAACGUAGGGAAACUUACGCUAAUACCGCAUACGACCUACGGGUGAAAGCAGGGGAUCUUCUGACCUUGCGCGAUUGAAUGAGCCGAUGUCGGAUUAGCUAGUUGGCGGGGUAAAGGCCCACCAAGGCGACGAUCCGUAGCUGGUCUGAGAGGAUGAUAGGCCAAACUGGACAUGAGACAGGGGCAAGACCCAUACGGGAGGAAGCAGGGGGGAAUUUUGAACAAGGGGUGAAAGCCUGAUCCACCCAUGACGGGUGGGUAAAGAAGGCCUGUGGGUUGUAAAGCCCUUUUGUUGGAAAAAAAAAGCAGAAGGUUAAUACCCCGGUGUUCUGACGGUACCAAAAGAAUAAGCACCGGCUAACUGCGU